rnacentral:rRNA from 1 species
GACGAACGCUGGCGGCGUGCUUAACACAUGCAAGUCGAACGAUGACACCCGAACUUGCCCGGUCUGAUUAGUGGCGAACGGGUGUGUAACACGUGAGCAACCUCCCCUUCACUCUGGGAUAACCUCGGGAAAUCGGGGCUAAUACCGGAUAUAAUCUACUGUACCAUGUCGGUUGUUGGUAAGUUUUUCGGUUGUGGAUGGGCGGACGGCCUAUCGGUUUGUAUGUGAGGUAGUGGCUCACCAAGGCUAUGAAGGGUAGCCGGCCUGAGCGGGCGUCCGGGCACACUGGGACUGAGACACGGCCCAGACUGCUACGGGAGGCAGCAGUGGGGAAUAUUACACAAUGGGCGAACGCCUGAUGCAGAGACGCCGGGUGCGGGAUGACGGCCUUCGGGUUGUAAACCUCUUUCAGCAGGGAAGAAGCGAAAGUGACGGUACCUGCAGAAGAAGCGCCGGCUAACUACGUG